rnacentral:lncRNA from 1 species
UCCUCUCUUCCUCUUCUAUUAUCGCCUCCCACUUCAGCAUCUCUCUUUGUAAGGAUGGGAUUCACCAAGGAAGUGGUGCAGCAGCUGAGCCCCGGGGAGGAGGAGGAGGAGGCACGCAUGCUCGCCAUGAGGCUGGUGACGGGAUCCUGCCUCCCAAUGAUUCUCAAUGUGGCCAUCGAGCUCGAGCUCCUCGAGAUCAUCGUCAAGGCUGGCCCCGGCGCCAAGCUGAGUCCCGACGACAUCGCCACCCAGCUGCCCACCGAGAACCCACAGGCGGCCGAUAUGGUAGACCGGAUCCUCCGCCUGCUCGCCGCCAACGGCGUCGUCAGUUUCUCUGUGGAGUCCGGCGACGAUGGGCGCCCCUCGUGCAAGUACGGGGCCACGCCUGUCUGCAAGUACCUGACCAAGAACGAGGACGGCGUGUCCAUGGCCGCUUUCUGCUUGCUGAUCCAUGACAAGGUCACCAUGGAGAGCUGGUAGUCGACGGAGCCAACAACGUCUACUCUUACUCGUUACUUCUCGCACUAAAAAGUUAGCCGAAGGAUUAAUCAGCUUAGUGUUUUUGCCUCCACAACGAUCGCAGGUACUACAUGAAGGAUGCGGUGUUGGAGGGCGGCAUCCCAUUCAAGAAGGCCCACGGCAUGACGGCGUUCGAGCACCACGGCGGCGAUCCACGGUUCAACAAGCUGUUCAACGACAGCAUGAGGAACCACUCCACCAUCUUGAUCAAGCAACUGCUGGAGACCUACCGCGGCUUCGACGACGUCAAGGUGCUCGUCGACGUCGGCGGCGGGACCGGCGCCACGCUCCACAUGAUCACCUCCAGGCACCCGCACAUCAAGGGCGUCAACUUCGACCUCCCUCUUGUCAUCGCCAGUGCACCGACCAACCCAGGUUCGCCAUUUAUAUCAGACAUUCGUCACAGUCAUAGUGCCUACCUCUUACAACGAAGCAAAAGAAUUCGUAAACUUGGGAUGCGUUGGCUCCAUGCAGAUGUAGAGCACGUAAGCGGCGACAUGUUUGAGAGCAUUCCGGGUGGAGGAGACGCCAUUUUCAUGAAGGUCAACAUUUAGAUUUUUUCCUUAACUCAUUUAAUGUUUGAGGUUUUGGUUAGGCAGCAUGUCGAACUUAUCAAAAAAAUUUGAAGGUUAUUAAUGAAAGAUACCACUCUUCAAACUACUCGAGACAUAUCAAUCAACCAAAUGAAAAGGGUAAAUCAAGCGGGACAAACAAUCAAAAAGAAUGAAGGAAAAAUAUUUACACUUUAAGAUCGAGGAGAUGGAGUCAAAGAAAAAGCACACAAGACACAAAUAUCGUCCUCCGCUUCCUCAUAGGGUGGAGACGCGGAGUUAUGCAUCUAUUCGCAACAAGUUUGACAUCUCAUUAGUCUUUAUCGACGUAAUUUUGCAGUGGAUUCUUCACGACUGGACUGAUGAGCAGUGCGCGAGAAUACUAAAGAACUGUUGGAAGGCUUUGCCGGAGGAAGGGAAGGUGAUAGUAGUGGAAUACUUGCUUCCCGUGAUUCCGGAGCCCGAUUCCAGAUCGCAAGGUGUUUUUUUCUUGGACAUCGGGAUGAUGAUACACACUGGAGGGAGAGAGAGGACACAGGAAGAGUUUGAGGCAAUGGCGAAGGAAGCAGGGUUUACAGGGUUCAAGGCCACCUACAUAUCUCUCUAUUCUUGGGUUAUGGAGUUCACAAAGUAGAUAAAAGAAAGAUCUAUGUCAUGUGCUGCUGUAGUAGAGUAGAAGAUAUACAUGCCUUAUGUAUUGCUUUCAGCUCCCUGCUGCCAUAGUAAGCUACCACGAGGUCGAGAGACCUCCGAAUGGACUUUGCUACGCUUUGAAAUCAGACUUUGCGACAGUGCUGUAAUAAGAUUCCAAAAGUUAUAUGUUUAUGAAGGUUUUGCUCGUAUUUGUUGGAAAAAGUUCACAUUUCAAACAGAGAUUUGAAUAGGAUUUAUAAUGUGUAUAUACAUUAGAAAUAUUUUUCUUUAUAUAAUUUUUUAAGUUAUUUUUUAAAAAUAUUUAUUUUGAUUGAAAGUUUUUACGUUUGUUAUUUGUUAAAUAAAGUUGCAUACUAAAUCUCUUCCAGACUCGUCUAAUAUAUUAUUUUUGAGAUAUUUAUAAUAAUUCUUGAUAUUUAUCCCUAAAUAUCUCAAUGCCAAUAACAUAAAAUAUUUUAUUCAUAUCAAUCAUCUUAAAAUUCUUGAUGAGAAAUUUUUUAGUCUUGUACAAGAAACUAAGGUCACAAUUUGGAAGUAAAAUAUUAUCUAUAUACAAGAUCAAUAUAAUAAGCUUGCUCCCACUAAUUUUUAUAUAUAAAUAGUGAUCGACAUCAUUUUUUUUAAGAUUCGAAAAAAGUAAUGAUAUCAAGAAACUUUAUAUACCAUUGUUUGUAUUUCUGAUCAUAAAUAUAUUUUAAAAUUUAUAUAUAAAAUUUUUUUCUCUAUGAAUUGUUUAGUUUAAUCCAUAUAAAUCUUCUCAUCGAGAUUCUUAUUCAAAAGUUACUUUUAUAUCCAUAUGAUAUAAUACAAAAUCAGAAUGAAUUAUUAAUAUUAUGAUGAUUCUUAACAAGUUUAUUUAAAAAAUUAUAAAAAUUAUCUCGUUAUGAUCGAUAUAUUCUUUAUGAGUAAAAUUCUUGGUCACAAGUUUAACUUUUAUAUCGUUUGAUAUUACUCAUUGAAUAAUGUUUAUAGAUAACAAAACAACUUGAUGAGUUUCUUAAAAGCUAUUUUGGUGCAUUGAUCGAAACUUUUUUUUAAUAUAUUAUAUUAUUUUUUAUAAUCGUUACAAUGAGGAACUUUUUAAUUCCUAUUUCACAAUAUGAUUUUUUCAAAUGUACUAUAUAAACUAUAUAAUGAUAGGUCUUAUUUUUCUUUGAGAUCUUCUUAGAACUAUCGAUUGUGAUUAUUUUAUAAGAUCAUUAGCGAUUGAUAUCAACAUCAUAUAGGAGUUCAUCAAUAUUAUUCUAUUAUUCACCCACAUCAAUUCUUUUAGUAAUUUAAUAAACAAUAAUCACUUGAAUAUAAAAUGAUAAAAGAGUAUCAACAUGUAUUUUUUCAAUAUCAAGAUUAAAUUUUAAAAUUUUUAUUUUCACUAAUUUGUUAUUUUUUAAGAAUCUUGUAUUACCAAAUUUAAUUAUCAUCGUACUACGAUAAAGUUAAUAAAAUAAAUAUUCCUAUGAUUUUUUUAGAUAAAUAAUAAAAUAUCUAAAUAUAAUCCUUGAAUCUAAUUAUUUUUCAUAUAAAUUGAAGAUCCUUAUCUGUGUAGGAUAAUUAUAAAUAUAUAAAUAUCUUAGUUUUCGACUAGUCCAUAACAAAAAAAUAUAUAAUGAAAUUGACUUAAUAGAAACUUUAUUCAAGAUAUAAUCAUCCUUGGAGUAUCUACUCAUAUUAAUUCGAGUAUAAAAGAAUAACUCAUAAUACUUAUAACCAUAUCCGUAAGAGUAUGAUUUCGUCUUUCAACAAUCUCAUUUUGUUGUGUUACUUUUGAUAAGAUAUACUAAGCACAAAUACCUCGUUAUUCUAAUAAUCUAACAAAAGACAUAAAAUUAUGAUUCAAUUCAUCAAGACGAUAUCAUAAAACUUAUCAUCCUUGUCAGAUCUGAUAAUUUUAAUUUUUAUCUGAUUAUCUUAUCAUAGAUAUAAAUAUAUAUAAUUUAAUAAAAUUAUAAUUUUAUUUUAAUAUUUAAUUAUAGAACCAUUAUAAACUUCGAUACAGUCUUCUCGGACAAGAGGUUGGGCUGCAGUCAUUGGUGGCCGGCAUGUUGCUUAUGAGUUGGGAGACUAAGAAGAGUAAGAGAGGCGGGGUCGGACUUUAUACUAAGCUACAACUUCAAGUAUAAGGUGACGAACAACACACUGAUCAUCUACGCAUUAAUAUGACAUCGAUAUGACAUACGCAACCCGUAGUUAAAAGAAUUGUGUUUCACGGCCAUGACACUGCUAGCGUGAACUAUUUAUUGAUAUGUUUCUCCCUCAUCCGAUGAUGAUGAUGUUUCUCCCUCCUCCGAGCAUCACACCCAUGAAAAGAUGAUACGAAACAAAUGGUUGGAUGGAAAGAAUGUUUACAUUUGGGAUACCGUUAUAUCAUUGUAAGCAUCAGCUGGAACUGCUUAACGAAACCCACCUGCCGGUCAAUUUGAAUUGGUCGUGUCGGCCGAUUGCCACGAGUUAAGUUUCGAGACAAGAUCGAUCAUGUCGUUCGUACAUUUGAUUAACCUUUGGGUUGCCUGCAAAUACGGCACUGUACGCAGCUUGUGGAUCCAGUCGACGUGAACUCACGCGCAUGCCAUGCCAUGCCAUGUCGUUCCCAUAAUGAAAGAAAAUUUGAAUCAUUAUCCAUCCUUUUCUUCUAAUAUAUAUAAUAACGGAUGGACAUAUUUUUUUCUAGAAUUGUAAUAUACUAGUAGGCAUGUGACCAGCGAUGUUUCCAAAAAUAUAAAAAAUAAAAAAUAAAAAAGAGAGCUAAGAGCCGAUGAUUUGAAGGAAACUUAGCACAAGUAUAAAGGAUAUUCGAACGAUAUGAAUUUUAACGAAGAUCUCGAAGGUAAUAUAAAUCUAUCGAAUAGCCUUCAAUCAACCUCAUGAACAUAUUUAUAGUUUAGAAAUUUAUAUGAUGGAUAUGAUGGGUAGAUAUGAUCGAUCAGUAUUAAUGCAUGGAUAUGAUGGAUAGAUAUGAUCGAUAAGUAUUUACUUUUUUUUAAAUAAAAAAUAAAAUAAAGAUAAAAUUGGAACUUAGAACCUUAUAUAAACUAUGGAUCAGAAUAUUUAUAAAUUAAACUAACUAAUAUAUUCAAAAUAUAUCAAUUAAAAUUUUAAAUUCUUAGUCUUUGAUAAAUAUAUUUGAUACAUCAUCACAGUACUAAUAUAAGAUGUACCGAUCAUAUACUUAUUCCAACAUUGCAUAAAGUAGGACUAGUCAGCGUGUCAUUGCGUGAUAGUAUUGCGACCUCGUAGUCAUGACAUGAUCAAUCCUCCUACUUGUAGUAUACAAAUAUUCUUUUGUUUGUUUUCCUUUUCUAUCUUAUGUCGAAACAAAAUAGUCGCCUAAACUACUACACAUAAAAUAUACAUUCAAAAUAUUUCACUUGACAUUUUAAACCCUUACUAUUUAAUAAAUAUAUCAUACGUGUGACUAGUCAGCAUAUCCACGUUUGACUUCAAUGAGCCUUUUGGUCAUCUCCGUGAUAGUCUGGCGAUCUCGUAGUCAUGAUCAAGCAACGUGAGCAAUCCUCCUACUUGUAGUAUACAAGUAUUCCUUUGUUUUGUUUUCUUUUUCUAUCUUCUGUGAAAACAAAAUAGUUGCCUAAACUGCUACACAUAAAGUAUGCAUUGCAAGAAAAAUAUGACACAAUAAAUCUAGGGCUCUUAAUCUUCUCGCCAAUGGCAUGCAUGCAUCAAGACAUUUGAACUUUGCGUACCUCUACGCUAAGAUAUUCAGUGCUUCGACGCAUAUAAAUCUCAUCCCAACGAUUACUCCCUUAUCAAUUUGAUCCGGGUUUAUAGAGCUCCUCCAUUAUCGCCUCCCUCAUCAUCAUCUCUCUUUGUAAGGAUGGGAUUCACCAAGGGAGUGGUGCAGCAGCUGAGCCCCGAGGAGGAGGAGGAGGCACGCUUGCUCGCCAUGAGGCUUGUGACGGGAUCCUGCCUCCCAAUGAUUCUCAAUGUGGCCAUCGAGCUCGAGCUCCUCGAGAUCAUCGUCAAGGCUGGCCCCGGCGCCAAGCUGAGUCCCGACGACAUCGCCACCCAGCUGCCCACCGAGAACCCACAGGCGGCCGAUAUGGUAGACCGGAUCC